rnacentral:misc_RNA from 1 species
AACGCACAUUGCGCCCUUUGGUAUUCCGAGGGGCACACCUGUUCGAGCGCCGUUUUAAUUCUAAGGCAUUGCCUUGCGUUGAUGGGAACCGUUUUAGGCGGUCCCCUCCAAACUUUUGGGCGUCUGUUCUCCAGUUGGCGUUGCGCAAUAGCACCAGCCUCCCGGAAAACGGGCCGCCAGUCACGGAACCUUUGGCCUCGGAUCAGGUGGGGAUACCCGCUGAACUUAA